rnacentral:rRNA from 1 species
GACGAACGCUGGCGGCGUGCUUAACACAUGCCAGUCGAACGGAAAGGCCCUGCUUUUGUGGGGUGCUCGAGUGGCGAACGGGUGAGUAACACGUGAGUAACCUGCCCUUGACUUUGGGAUAACUUCCGGAAACUGGGGCUAAUACCGGCUAGGAGCUCCUGCUGCAUGGUGGGGGGUGGGAAGUUUCGGCGGUUGGGGAUGGACUCGCGGCUUAUCAGCUUGUUGGUGGGGUAGUGGCUUACCAAGGCUUUGACGGGUAGCCGGCCUGAGCGGGUGACCGGCCACAUUGGGACUGAGAUACGGCCCAGACCCCUACGGGAGGCAGCAGUGGGGAAUAUUGCACAAUGGGCGGAAGCCUGAUGCAGCAACGCCGCGUGCGGGAUGACGGCCUUCGGGUUGUAAACCGCUUUCGCCUGUGACGAAGCGUGAGUGACGGUAAUGGGUAAAGAAGCACCGGCUAACUACGUG